rnacentral:rRNA from 1 species
AUUGAACGCUGGCGGCAUGCUUUACACAUGCAAGUCGAACGGUAACAGGCCGCAAGGUGCUGACGAGUGGCGAACGGGUGAGUAAUGCAUCGGAACGUGCCCAGUCGUGGGGGAUAACGCAGCGAAAGCUGUGCUAAUACCGCAUACGAUCUAUGGAUGAAAGCGGGGGCCCGUAAGGCCUCGCGCGAUUGGAGCGGCCGAUGUCAGAUUAGGUAGUUGGUGGGGUAAAGGCCCACCAAGCCAACGAUCUGUAGCUGGUCUGGGAGGACGACCAGCCACACUGGGACUGAGACACGGCCCAGACUCCUACGGGAGGCAGCAGUGGGGAAUUUUGGACAAUGGGCGCAAGCCUGGUCCAGCAAUGCCGCGUGCAGGAAGAAGGCCUUCGGGUUGUAAACUGCUUUUGUACGGAACGAAACGGUCUGGGUUAAUACCCUGGGCUAAUGACGGUACCGUAAGAAUAAGCACCGGCUAACUACGUGCCAGCCGCCGCAGUAAUAC